AGACAGGGCUGGCAGCAGUUUAUCAGAAGGAGAGGGAAUAAUGUGUGAGAGAGCAAUGUGACUUCACUAAAUCAGGUUGAAGUGUACUUCGGACACAUUAUGAGAAGACUCAGCAUCCUUGAGAAGUCUAUAACGCUGGGGAAUGUUGAAGGAAAGAGAAGAAGAGGAUGACCAGCAGCAAGGUGGAUGGACUCGAUUACGACAGCAAUGAAUGCACCACUGAGAGUUUGUAAAGGCCAAGUUGAAGAGAGAUAAUCCUGGAGAAAAUCUAUCUAUGUGGUUGCUAAGAGUCAACACCAACUUGACAGCACUUAAUCAAGCACUCAAUCAAGGUGUACCCAUGGCUAAUCCUGUGCAUGGCAGCUCUCACAAGAGUUCACAAACAGAAGCACCUGAUUAGGCAGGGGGGAUUCCAUAUGCAAAUAGGGAGUGGGAGCCUGUGAGAGCAGAAGCACCAUGGUGAUUGGGCAGUGGGGAUUCCAUAUGCAGAUAGGGAGGAGGAGCCUGUGAUGGUUAAGGUCAGAUGGAAUGCAAUUGUUAUUGACCGGAAGAUGUUCUUGAUUGUAGAGGACAGAAAUCUAUAUAUAUAAAAGGAUAGUGGGCAGAGGUCUGCGAAGAGAGGGGUCAUGGGGGAGGAAAGAGCCCCUUCAGGAGAAGGUGGCUGCUGUUGUGUGAAUUAGAUGAGGAAACAAGAUAAACAAGAUUGGUUAACUCAAGAAGGGGGGGGAGAAAGACAGAGGGGAAGAGCGAGUGGAGUAGAGAGAAAGAAGAAAGGGCUAGGGCCCGAGCCUGUCAGUGGCCGAGGGGAAUGAGUGGCCAUGGCAGUGGCAGCAGGGAGGUAGGCCAACUGCUGCUGUUGCUGCUCCUCCUGUGGGGCUCAGGUGAGGGAGAGGAGGUCGCUGGGGAUAGGGGGGUGCAGCUUGGCCAAUAGGUGCCAGCAAUGCUGCAGCCGCGACCAAGAGGGGUGAGGGGAUGGAGUAAAAGGAUUAAGGAGUAACCAGAAGGGGUGAGGUGGAUGGAAGCAAUGGGAUGGAGGAGCAGGAGCAGGAGUGCAGCUCAGGUGAGGGUGGAGAGAUCUCUGAAGUGAGAGGGGCAGUGGCAGGGAGUGAAGGCAGCAAACAAGUACUAGUGCACAAAUGCUCUGCACAGGUAAAGCUAAUACAAGUAAAUACAUGGUUAACGAAAGCAGUACAUGGUUAAUUAAAAAUGAAAGGAAUGUGCUUCAAAUAAUGUUUAUAAAUUUAAAAUAAACUGUUUCAACUUAAUGUAAUUUGCCAAGAAAGGCUGAUAGAAAUGGACUUUCUAGCUCCAUAGUAUUUCUAUUUUGGGGCUGUAGGUUAGCCUAAAAUGCAUCAAAAAAUAAAUUUAUUUAUUUAUUUA